rnacentral:tRNA from 1 species
AUCUAAGAUAGCUUAACUGAUAGAGCUUUUGGCGCAUAACCAAUUGGUCCGGGUUCGAGUCCCGGUCUGGGCU